rnacentral:lncRNA from 1 species
CGUGUCAUGCUUAAGAUCUGCAGUGAAAGCAACGGGAUACCAAAAGUUCUUCAAGUGUGGACUAUAAGGCUGAACGGGACCAGAAACAUUCAAGCUUUUCCCACCAACCCUGUCUGAGUCCUGGACUGAGGUUGAAUAGGAAGGUCUGUCUGAUUCUGUCGCAACUCUAACUGGUAAUAACCUAUCAUUAACCAAUUCUUCCAUGUGAGCUAACUUUUCUAGAGCAGUUGAAACCCUCGCUUCUGAUAUAUGAACCUGUUUUAGAUUUUGACUAAGAGUUAGAACAAGUGAGCACCAAUAUAAAAAAAAAAACGCAAUUCUUAAGAACAUGUUGGUGUGCUUUCGCGAGUUCUUCCUGCAAUCCAGCAAGUUCUUUCUUCACAGUACCAAUAGACUUGUACUCACGAGCUAGAGGAUUCAGUACAUCAACGACCUGAGAGAUACAAUCAGUUAACUAAUAUGCUGAGAGGUCAAUGUAGAUGAUAGAUACUGUGGUGAGAAACAAACCUUGUCGUGAAGGAGCAUGAUGGUAAGAAGAUCUUGACGAGCACGCCAAUCCAGAUAUUGGAUAUCGAGCCUAGCAACUUCAAGCGCUUGGUUUACAUCCAUGAACUUGCCUUUGCCUUUAUAAGGAGGAGGAGGAGUUUUUGAUCUAGGAUCCUCCACAUCAAACAAAUGCCCCCAUUGAUUCUUUUUCUCAACUAACCCACUAUCUUCCCCAAACACAGCAAAAACCCUGAACUCUCCCUGAGAAACAAACAAUAAUCAUUCAAAAAUGAAACCUUUUCUAAUGCCACAACAAAAACCCAAGAUCUCAAAAACAGAUGUCAAGUAAAGUUACACCUUCUUUCUGGUGACUUGAGAUGAUCUAGUUUUACAGAAGGAUAUGGGUAGAGAUAAAGCAGAAGACGUAAACACGGCGGCGUUCAUGGCGUCGUCACCGGAAGGAACGAAAGAGAUAAUAGACAAAGAGAUUAGAGAGACAAAAGGGAUUUUACUUUUUUAUUAAUUCGAAUUUUUUGUUGAUAAGAGAAGCGAGUUCUUCGCGAUCUAAGCAAACCUCCGAAAAGAUGACACGUGUACAAACAUUGCCAAUGAAGAUGUACAUGUGGCGGUACUAUCAUCCACAUGAUGAUGAAGAUGGAUUUGCCAGCUCGGAUUCUCCGAGAUAUCUUUGGCUAUCUUUUGUUUUUCGAAUUCUUACUGUUUUUUGUCAUUUUCCUUCUUUGGUUUUCCAUCACUAGUUUCUUUUGGCGAAAAACAUUUGUUUUUAGAACAUCUCCGAUCCCUAGCUAUUUUCACUUCUAUAUGCUAUAAUAGAGGAAAAAAUAGCAUUUAUCUAUUAUAGAGUCAUACUUUUUUAUUUUUAAAAUAGUCUUUUAACUUUCAAAUUUUUUAUAGUUGUAACUAAAAUAAUUAUAUUUAUAGAAAAAUACAGCUUUUGUAGGAAUAUAAUAAUAUUUUUUUAUUUACAUAAUAGUCUUUUAACAAAACUUUAGUUUAAAAAAAUUCAUAAGUUUAUGAAAAUAUUUUAAAAGUUAAAAAUAAAUAGGGUUAGUUAUCAACUUUUAUAAACAAAAUGUAUCUUUUGUAAAAUUAAAAUAGAAUCUUUUGAAAAUAUUCCUUUAUAGAGGUAAAAAUAGAGAAAUACAUUGGAAAGAAACUCAUCUCUAUUUUAGAGGUAAAAAUAGGGGAAUACAUUGGAGAUGGUCUUACAAAACUGGGACAAAGCUUCUUUUUUUUUUUUGCAUCGAAAGCUCCAUAUAGCACCAACCAAGUCUAGACCUCAGAGUUAACAAAAACAAAAGCCACGAGACGGAGCACCUUUCGCAAGGCGAUUGAUAUCACUUAAAUUAGCCUAAGUAGUGAUUUAUACUCUCUCAAAUAAGAAGUCGAAUUGUAGUACUUAGGGAUCGAAUUCACAGGGAGCUAGGGAACCUAAUAGAUCAAAUUUGAUUUGUUAAGUAAGAAGUUUUUAAGAUUUAAAAUGUAAAUUUGCAGUUUUGGUUGAGCAAGUAAUUGCUCGAUUAAUUGGUUCAGGUUUUGGUGCUUAAAAGGAAAUAGCUAGACUUAGGGUUUCUAUUCAGGAAACUUGGAAUUAUAAUCCUACAGAUGCCUAAUGAGUUGCAUGCAUGAUAAUGUAAAGCUCAACUGUCAAUUCAACAAGUCCAUCAGCUAUCGCAUGUUUGAACUCGUCUAUUAACUAUAUCUAAUGACCCAAACAGAUGUGUUCGAUCAAUAGCAGUGUCUAUCGAUGAUCCUAUAGGGAUUUCGGUCGAUACAUCUUUCGCUCCGUCAAUCGAUUAUCCAAUAUGAAUAUCGAUCGACGCGCUUCUAGUUAAGCUUUAUACGCGGGUUGAAUGAAUGCUUACUAAGCUCACUAGAUCAGCUCUCGCCUUACUCUUAGCAAGAAACUUAGCUCAGUUAGAAUGUUUUCAGGAUGAAAAUGAAGCUCUCGCUUUUAUCUAUCAAUUCUAGGGCAAGUUCUAGGUAGUUAAUCUAGAAACAUGCAUUAAUGAACAAUCCUAAUGACAAUUACCACAACUUAGCAAUCUAUAGUUGGGGAUAAUCCUUCAUAAUCUAUUUAAACCCUAAAUCUAACAGUGGAACUACUUAGACAUGGUCAAGCAAUUCAUGAAAGCAAUUAGGUUAGAAAACUUCAUAGAAUAGUAAAAUAGAUAUUAAUGGAGUUCCAAUCACAAAUUAUAACUUUGGAUCUUCUCUCCAACUAUCACAAUCCUAAAACCUUUAGCUGAAAGUAAUAAAUAUAAAAACACAGAAAAGCACACUUUGCCUCUGACAUGGUGGAAAAGUUUAUAUAGUUAGGUUAAAACUCGUCAAGAGUAAUCUUGUAAAUUGGUGAAGACUUGGGCUUCAAGUUGGCUGUGACCAAACAGGCUUUCAGCGUGCUUCGUUGUCGAUCGAUGUUCAAGUGUGAACAUCGAUCGAUAUUCCUCCUCCAAUAUCGACUGAUGGUCGAGCUCGAUGGUCAUCUCGGGUGCUUGCUCCAAAUAUAUCCAAAAUGCUCCAAAAUCAUCACUUAUCUCUAAAUCACUUCCUGAUCUUAUAAAUAUAAAAAUAGACUCUAUAAUAUAAUAAUAGAUAGUAAAAACACCUAUAAACUAUAGACGAAAAUGGGUCAAAUCCAUGGUCUAUCAGCGAUCAGCUCGGAGGUUCUUUAAACGUGAGACAAAAGAAAUGGAGCAUAACAAAAACUUAGAACGAAGAGUAAGGAAUUCAUCAAACUCAGCCAUAAGACUUGGCCAUUCUUCUUCUUCCUCAAUGAGCCUAACCAGUUGCAGGCAAUCUGAUUCAAAGGUCAUUGAUACGUGACCGAGAAAUUAGCGAGGAUUUCAUGGCCCACAGCAGAGUACCAAACUCUGCGUGUAGGGGAGACAGCGAUCGGUUACCAGCAAUCAUCACCACGAUCUACAGCGUUCCUCCAUAGUCUAUACCGAACUCCAAGCUUGUCAUAAGCAACAGGUAAGUUCCAUAUAUUUGCACCAUUCAACAUCCUUUCUUGCUGUCCCAAAACCAACCGUAGAUCUUCAUUUAAGACCUGCAAAAAACAGAUAAAAAAAACAUCAAGAUGAUCGAUAUUCAUUCAUUUAUUUCUUUCCUUUUUUUACCUGCUCAGCGAAAUGUCUCCAGAGAUGUUCCAUGAAUGGUAGAUUCUUCAAUAUUGGAGCAAAGUCUAGUGACAUUCGGUAUAGAAGUCUUGUCUUGUUUCUUGAAGAAGGUAAACAAACAUGGAGUUGAUGAAGAUGUGUUGCACACUGCUCAGUGCUCUUUCCUUCUAGCUUCCCUGGUUUUGAGAUUCCUAUUGUCGAUAACACGAUACAAGGUGGUUUAAAUUCCAUAUCGAUUGGAUACGGAUCCCAGUAUCCUUGAAGACCUGAAGAUGGUGUUAAGAACUUUACCAAGCUGCAAGAAAAGAGAGAAAAGGCUUUAAAAAAAAAAACAGGGAGUCAUUGUCAAUACUGAAACAGCGUAAUGAGAUUUUAGAAAACAAAACCUUGGGACACUCCAGCCUUUUGCAAAAGUAGAUGUGUGAGUGAAUGGAGCAUGCGCAAGAUCCAAGAGAUUAUCUAGUAGCAACCCGUGUUCCACCGGUAGGUCCAUUACAAGCUGAGAUUAUGUUAGAGAACAAAAAUGAGAUUUUAAAUGACAGGAAUCUACAACUGCUCAAAAAACUACUUGGAAUCUACAAGAUUUACCUCGGCAUGGAUUACAAACCCUGAUGGAGGCUGUAAAGAAGGAAGUGUGGGUGAAGGUGGCUCAUCACCGGGCCAAACCCAGACCAUGCCGUCUUGUUCAAGACAAGGUAUCGAUUUUAUCUUCACAUUCAGUAGCUUUGUAGAUGGCAUCUUCGUACACUUUCCAUCAGUUGAGUAUUCCCAUCCUACAAGAUCACACUCGAAAAGAUGCUCUAAAUAAAAUGGUUUAAAAAUCAACAAAACACAGAGAAUGAGUUACUAACCGUGGUAAGGACACUGGAUACGACCAUUGUUCACCGAGCCAAGAUCAAGAGGACACGCUCUAUGUGCACAUGUGUUCCGUACACAUCCUGGUUUCCCAUCUUCCCCUCUGAAGAUAACCCAUGGUUGCUCAAAGCAGUCAAUUGGUACCUUAAGGAGACGCAAUAUCAUUUUUAUUAUAUAUAUAUAUAUAUAUUUUGGAAUGACAGGGAAAAGACAAGAAAAAACAUUUUAUACCAUACCAUCGUGUCAUGCUUAAGAUCUGCAGUGAAAGCAACGGGAUACCAAAAGUUCUUCAAGUGUGGACUAUAAGGCUGAACGGGACCAGAAACAUUCAAGCUUUUCCCACCAACCCUGUCUGAGUCCUGGACUGAGGUUGAAUAGGAAGGUCUGUCUGAUUCUGUCGCAACUCUAACUGGUAAUAACCUAUCAUUAACCAAUUCUUCCAUGUGAGCUAACUUUUCUAGAGCAGUUGAAACCCUCGCUUCUGAUAUAUGAACCUGUUUUAGAUUUUGACUAAGAGUUAGAACAAGUGAGCACCAAUAUAAAAAAAAAAACGCAAUUCUUAAGAACAUG